GACGAACGCUGGCGGCGUGCUUAACACAUGCAAGUCGAACGGAAAGGCCCUGCUUUUGUGGGGUGCUCGAGUGGCGAAAGGGUGAGUAACACGUGAGUAACCUGCCCUUGACUUUGGGAUAACUUCAGGAAACUGGGGCUAAUACCGGAUAGGAGCUCCUGCUGCAUGGUGGGGGUUGGAAAGAUUCGGCGGUUGGGGAUGGACUCGCGGCUUAUCAGCUUGUUGGUGGGGUAGUGGCUUACCAAGGCGUUGACGGGUAGCCGGCCUGAGAGGGUGACCGGCCACAUUGGGACUGAGAUACGGGCCAGACUCCUACGGGAGGCAGCAGUGGGGAAUAUUGCACAAUGGGCGGAAGCCUGAUGCAGCAACGCCGCGUGCGGGAUGACGGCCUUCGGGGUGUAAACCGCUUUCGCCUGUGACGAAGCGUGAGUGACGGUAAUGGGUAAAGAAGCACCGGCUAACUACGUG
rnacentral:rRNA from 1 species